UGGGCUUGACAUGCACGGGACAGCUGCUGGAAACAGUGGCCUCUCUUCGGAGCCCGUGCACAGGUGCUGCAUGGCUGUCGUCAGCUCGUGUCGUGAGAUGUUGGGUUAAGUCCCGCAACGAGCGCAACCCCCGCCCCGUGUUGCUAACAGGGCGCAAGCUGCUGAGGACUCGCGGGGGACUGCCGGUGCCAAACCGGAGGAAGGUGGGGAUGACGUUGCUGUACCAUAGA
rnacentral:misc_RNA from 1 species